rnacentral:rRNA from 1 species
CAUUUGAACAUCGACAUUUCGAACGCACAUUGCGGUCCGUGGAGAAACAUCCUGGACCACUCCUGUCUGAGGGCCG